rnacentral:snoRNA from 1 species
AAAGCAGGUUGCAAUUAUAGUGCUUCAGUUUUUUGGGAGUACUACCAUUAUCCUGCUGAAAGAAAAGCCAUGUUGAUUGUUUCUGGUUUUGCUUUUCUAUGGUAAAAUCAUGACACCUUGACAUGGACAAUU